GCCAUUCUAGAGAGCACAGAUACAGCAGGUGCUCAUCGUCACAGACAGCUCUUCUACAGUGACUCCAGUGACCAUCGCAAGAUUCCCUUCUCGGUUCGCGACCUGUGGACCCCAUCUUGUCCCCAGCAGUGCUUUAGCUCUAGGUGGUUCAUACUGCUGGAACCCCAACCACUAGGGAAAUGAAGCGCAAAAAGUAGACAACCAAGAUUUACAUUCCCAAGCCUGAAAAUAUGAUGGGAACAUGCAAAAAACAUAAGAAGCCAACUUAA